rnacentral:rRNA from 1 species
CUUUAGAUACCCGGGUAGUCCACGCCGUAAACGAUGAUCACUAAGUGUGGGGGGUCGAACCUCCGUGCUCAAGCUAACGCGAUAAGUGAUCCGCCUGGGGAGUACGCACGCAAGUGUGAAACUCAAAGGAAUUGACGGGGACCCGCACAAGCGGUGGAGCAUGUGGUUUAAUUCGACGCAACGCGAGGAACCUUACCAGCCCUUGACAUCCUCAGAACUUAGCAGAGAUGCUUUGGUGCCACUUCGGUGGAACUGAGUGACAGGUGGUGCAUGGCCGCCGUCAG